ACUAUUCGGAAGAGAGAGAAAACACACACACACACAUGUAUGAAUCUCCAUAAAGAUAUUUUUAUAUCAAAAAUUACUACAAAAUGUAUUACUUUCCUUGUCACAGGAUAAUUACCUAAUUAAAAAUGUCGAAAUUUCGCCUGAAGUAAGAAAAUGAAGAAAAGGAAUUCAAGGUGAAAAGGUUUUUCCUCUUCAAACAAUCAGCAGAUUCCCUGAGAAUAAGAAACAUUAGUCGAGACUUCUACAUCAUUGAAAAAAGAUACAAAACGUAGUUUCCUUGUUUAAGAAAAUCGCCAACUUAAUAUGAGAGACGAAAGAAUAAAGAAAAAUUAAGUUCUAUUUGCUGUAGCAUUUUUUUUCCAUUGCACAGCACAUAAAAUAACUGAUUAUAUCAACUGUUCGUUUAUCAUGCCUACUUAGUUUUUAUUAUGUAAGAUAGCCUCUGUCUGCAUAGACUUGCACAAAAUGUUUCUGUGGUAGUUGUUUUCGAUAUCACCAUCAAAUUACUUUUUUUUUCUCCAAUAUAAUGCUGUGGCUUUAGUCAUCUGUUGUGAAGAGUAAUUGGAACAAAUUUAUAAACUAAACUAGUUUGUUGAAUAGUGAUUCAAAUUAUGUUUUGGUAUGGUAAGCGUAAAUGUGUUUAGUGGAUAGUAACCAAAUGAUAAAAAAUCAGAGCAUAAGUAUUUCGGUAAAAAGAGAAACAGUAAUAUAUUGUUUCUAUUUUAUUUUUGGUUAUCUUAAUAAAAAGGAUAAAUACUCUAAUGAACGAACAUCAAUUCACGAGUGGAUUCUGCCUUUACGUUGUUAUUUUGUUUCUUUUCCUAACGUAAAGACAAAUCUCCGUAACUGUAAAAUGUAAUAAAUCAACCAUAGAGGGAGAUGCAACACUCAGCUGUCGCUGUCUUAAGGAAGGGGACGUUAAUCUAUAAUCUUUUAUUAAUUGUUAUUUAAACUGCAAUCUCUGCUCCAUACGUAAUAGGAAUAAUAAGAAAUUAGUUUUUGAAAUGUUAGUUAUA